rnacentral:rRNA from 1 species
GACGAACGCUGGCGGCGUGCCUAAUACAUGCAAGUCGAGCGGACGAAUCGAAAGCUUGCUUUUGAUUCGUUAGCGGCGGACGGGUGAGUAACACGUGGGCAACCUGCCCUGUAGACGGGGAUAACACCGAGAAAUCGGUGCUAAUACCGGAUAGCACGAAAUGUCGCAUGACGUUUCGUUGAAAGACGGCGCAAGCUGCCGCUACAGGAUGGGCCCGCGGCGCAUUAGCUAGUUGGUGAGGUAACGGCUCACCAAGGCGACGAUACGUAGCCGACCUGAGAGGGUGAUCGGCCACACUGGGACUGAGACACGGCCCAGACUCCUACGGGAGGCAGCAGUAGGGAAUCUUCCGCAAUGGACGAAAGUCUGACGGAGCAACGCCGCGUGAGCGAAGAAGGCCUUCGGGUCGUAAAGCUCUGUUGUUAGGGAAGAACAAGUAACGCAGUAACUGGCGUUACCGUGACGGUACCUAACGAGAAAGCCACGGCUAACUACGUG